UGCUGGUCGGCCCGCUGGCCGAGGGCAACCGCGCCUGGCAGGUGCAGUUCUGGCCCGACAAGAAGAACCUGGUCGGUCGCCAGGUCGAGCAAC
rnacentral:tRNA from 3 species